rnacentral:lncRNA from 1 species
UAUUUUAUUUUAUUUUAUUUUCCUACUGUACAGCAAGGGGAUCAAGUUAUCCUUACAUGUAUACAUUACAUUUUUUUCCCCACCAUUUGUUUGUUGCAACAUGAGUAUCUAGACAUAGUUCUCAAUGCUACUCAGCAGAAUCUCCUUGCAAAUCUAUUCUAAGUUGUGUCUGAUAACCCCAAACUCCCCAUCCCUCCCACUCCCUCCCUCUCUCAUCAGGCAGCCACAAGUCUAUUUUCCAAGUCCAUGAUUUUCUUUUCUGUGGAGAUGUUCAUUUGUGCUGGAUAUUAGAUUCCAGUUAUAAAUGAUAUCAUAUGGUAUUUGUCUUUCUGGCUCAUUUCACUCAGUAUGAGAUUCUCUAGUUCCAUCCAUGUUGCUGCAAAUGGCAUUAUGUCAUUCUUUUUUAUGGCUGAGUAGUAUUCCCUUGUCUUUAUAUACCACAUCUUCUGAAUCCAAUCAUCUGUUGAUGGACACAUCUAAUUUUAAAGCUUGUACUUUUGUAUGGAUGACCAAACAUGGCUUAGUGUUUGAAACCUCAAGGUGGGAUUGUUGGGUGAUCUUCUAGGCUGCCUCAAACCUUCAGACCUGGGUGCUUUGCUCCUUUUUAAUAUCACAGUGUAUUUGACUUCUAAGUCUUAAGGCUUGCUUAUUCUCAUUUUUGGCCUCAAUUUCUGAUUUUUUGUUUUGUUUUUCAAUUUAGGUCUUGGUUAUCAUGUUAUUUUCUUAUUAAGUUUCUGUUUCUUUAGGAUUAUAACCUCAACAAGAUGAAUUCCACUGCACUUCCAGAGAGAGAUAGGCCAUACCUCUCUUCCUAGCCCAUACCAUGUGGUCAGGCAAAAAACACCUGAAAUGGCAGUAGAAAAUAUGGCUUGGGGGGUCAGUUUUUAUUCCUACUGCCUGGGCAGUUUUGGAUGACACAUAACCUAUUUGAGCCCUUGUUGUUUUUCAAGCCUGUGUCCCACCUUAAUGUCACUUUAUGAAUAACAUUUGUUGAAAAUAAUGAUGUUUUUGCAUCAUAUAUAGUAUCAGAAAUGCUGGGGAUCUCACAUUGCAGCUGGUACAGAGGAAGGGAGGGUCUGAGAGCGUGUGGCACAGGGGAGAGAACUGAAUGGGAAUGGUUGCCAAAGUGAGGGUCAGGGUGGAUAGUCAGUAUAAUAUGUUAAAGCAAACUAAAAGGGAUAAUGGACUCAAGUCAAGUUUCAACUAGGGGAUAUGCUUUUGAGCCAGCAUCUCUUUGUGUAUCUAAGGAAGGCCAAUCUGCUUGGUGGGGCAUGGGAAUAACACUGCAGGCAUUGUCAUAACACUUGAAGUCAUAUUCUUGAGAGCUUUACAGGGUGAUUGUUUUGAAUGAGAUAAGUACUUCUGAGAAGGAACCUGGCCAUGAAUUGCACAUAUGUAAGGGAAGAGGGAGUGGUUAGGGAGUCAUAUGUAGUUCAGCUGGGCUCUAGCCGCAUCUUCAGUACCCUAGAAAGCCAAAACAGAAGUUCAGUUGUGUGGAUUAGGCCAGUGUGAGAGGCGUGGCUUAGCACUUUAACCAAAGAAGCUUACUUGCCUUAUAUGCAUCUCCAGGCUGGAGCUUCUGGAUUUGAAUCAAGUAUUAGCUUCUAGUGAAACUACUAAGUGACUUUUAAGUAAGUUGUUUUUUCCUCUGUGCUCUCUUAACACCAUGUUAAAAUAUCUAAAAUGCAUUGAACAUAGUCAUAUUUCUAUUUUCUUAAUAAGUCUAUUUUCCCUUUAGAUCAUGGGCUCUUUAAGGUGAAGUAUAAAAUUGUUUUCAGCUCCAUAACUUAAUGCUUUGGACAGUGCCUGGCACGGGUACACAGAAAUGCUUAUUGAAUAAAUGAUUGGAUGAAUGAACUAACAAAACUCUAUUUGAGGGCCAUAAUAUAUACCUCUGAAUACUGCUUACCCACCCUGAAAAUUCAUGCCCUAUCACAUAAUUAACCAGGUUUAAGGUAGGGAUGAUUUGAUGUCUGUGAUGGACUUUAGGGCCAGGAUGAGGGAGAAGUUAAGAACAGUUUUCCACCUUUUUGAGCUUUGUUCUCAGACAUUUGGACCAAAGUCCCCAUCGCAAGUAAGGGCACAAUGCCACAUGCUGGUAUACCCCUGGUUCCUUUGAGUGCGCUGCAAGGAAAGCAAUUCCAAGUAUAUAUUCUACCAACAAAGGGUUCAUCUUGCCAUGUGAAGUUGAUCCCCAGUUGAUUACUUAAUGCGGAUAGCCCAUUGUAGGACACAACAAAAUGGACUAGGAAGAAAAAAAAAUUAUUUCUUCUUAGCUUCCUGUUUUGCCAUGGAGGACCUUAAUGAGGACAUUCUCUAAAAUUACUUCGGUUUACAGUGAUUCUAUCAGUUUUCUAUAUACUUAGAAAGCACUUUGCUGAAGGAAGUGUUAUGUCUGUGUUAAUUUAGUGGUGUUUUAGAUUAAUCAGGCAGUUGAUGGUCCUGAACUGUUCAGCAGGUCCAGAUUUCACUGCCUAUAAACACCAAACAUAACUUGUAACAAAAAAUAAGUUUUAUCAGACUUUUCUAAAAUCCAAAGUUAGAGAUUGUGUUCAAGUAGGACUUUUUUGCUUAAUCUUCACACCUUCCUAUUUCAGAAUGCUGAAUUACUAAGUAAACCAAGAGAAGAUUUUACUAAAAAUGGUACUCUUGGAAUUGUGAACUUAUUCAGCGGAGAUUUUACAGGAACCUCAGGGGAUUUUAUUCAAAAUUGAACUUGAAUAAUUUUCAAUAAUACUUUCUGGUUUUGGAAAACUGCCUCUCAGUUUCUUUUUUCUUCUUCUUAAAUGCGUAUAAAGAUGAGUAACAUAUAUUAGGAAAAAGUAGUGUUAAAAGAGAAUCUUGAGGAUUUACAUCCUUCAGCUGUUAGUUUGAGUUUAUGAAAAAGUUUAUGAUAACAGUCGUUUUGGAAAAAGUAUGUUCAGGCAUGGGAUUCUACAAAAUCCAUUCAUUCACCAAAAAUUAGUUGAUGUAUCCCUGGACCAGGCUUUGUCAGAGUUUCCAGAUGCUCUUGGCAAUAAUUUGCAAUAGGGCCAAUCAGUUUAUCUUUGUGAUUUUUCUAACACAGAAGUCAGAAGCCCAGCUCUAGAGAAAGACAACUGUGGCAUACCCAAGUUAGAUAAGAUGUGCAGGAAAAUGACAAUGUAACAGUUUCCAGAAUGAAGAGAGUUUGUGGUGGAAGUGGUCACUCUCAUUUUGGAAUAAAUACUUCCACUUACCAAAUAUUCAGUGAAUCAUGUUACCUGCCAGUCAGUGAUUCAAGCCCAAGAAAUAUAAAGAUGAACAACCUGAUCAAGGCUCUGCCCUCGAGAAGCUUUACUUAUAUUUUGUUCGUAAAAGAUAAAUUAAAACAUAACUAUAAAUAUUUUGCUAAGUAGUGAUUAAGAAAAUCACUAUCCAGGGAGUUUCUGUUGUGGCUCAGCAGUAAGGAACCUGACUAGUAUCCAUAAAGAUGCAGGUUCAAUCCCUGGCUUGCCUCAGUGGGUUAAGGAUCUGGCAUUGCUGUAACUAUGGUGUAGACCAGCAGCUAUACCUCUGAUUCGACCCCUAGCCUGGGAAUGUCCAUAUGCCUCAGGUGCAGCCAU